UACAGAGGGUGCAAGCGUUAUCCGGAUUUAUUGGGUUUAAAGGGUGCGUAGGCGGAAUGCUAAGUCAGAGGUGAAAUCUUGCGGCUUAACCGUAAAAUUGCCUUUGAUACUGGUAAUCUUGAGUGCAGUUGAGGUAGGCGGAAUGUGUCAUGUAGCGGUGAAAUGCAUAGAUAUGACACAGAACACCGAUUGCGAAGGCAGCUUACUAAACUGUUACUGACGCUGAGGCACGAAAGCGUGGGGAGCGAACAGG
rnacentral:misc_RNA from 1 species